AGUUGUCUCCUUUGUUUCUUGGGAACUCUUUGAUGGCCAAUCAGAUGCCUACAAGGAAAGUGUUUUGCCGGCUGCAGUAACAGCAAGAGUUAGCAUUGAAGCUGGAUCAACAUUUGGGUGGCAAAAGCUUGUUGGAAGCAAAGGAAAGGCUAUUGGAAUUGAUCAUUUUGGGGCAAGUGCACCAGCUGGAAAAAUAUACAAGGAGUUUGGCCUUACCGUCGAGGCAGUUAUUGCAGCAGCAAAAGAAGUUAGCUAGGCAACUUGUU
rnacentral:lncRNA from 1 species